UACGUAGGUGGCAAGCGUUGUCCGGAUUUAUUGGGUUUAAAGGGUGCGUAGGCGGCCCUGUAAGUCAGUGCUGAAAUAUCCCGGCUUAACCGGGAGGGUGGCAUUGAUACUGCGGGGCUAGAGUACAGAUGAGGUAGGCGGAAUUGACGGUGUAGCGGUGAAAUGCUUAGAUAUCGUCAAGAACACCUAUAGCGAGGGCAGCUUACUAGGCUGUAACUGACGCUGAGGCACGAAAGUGUGGGGAUCAAACAGG
rnacentral:rRNA from 1 species